AUUGGACGCUGGCGGCAUGCCUUACACAUGCAAGUCGAACGGUAACAGGUCUUCGGAUGCUGACGAGUGGCGAACGGGUGAGUAAUACAUCGGAACGUGCCCAGACGUGGGGGAUAACGAGGCGAAAGCUUUGCUAAUACCGCAUACGAUCUAAGGAUGAAAGCAGGGGACCGCAAGGCCUUGUGCGUUUGGAGCGGCCGAUGGCAGAUUAGGUAGUUGGUGGGAUAAAAGCUUACCAAGCCGACGAUCUGUAGCUGGUCUGAGAGGACGACCAGCCACACUGGGACUGAGACGCGGCCCAGACUCCUACGGGAGGCAGCAGUGGGGAAUUUUGGACAAUGGGCGAAAGCCUGAUCCAGCAAUGCCGCGUGCAGGAUGAAGGCCUUCGGGUUGUAAACUGCUUUUGUACGGAACGAAAAGGCUCUGGCUAAUACCUGGGGCACAUGACGGUACCGGAAGAAUAAGCACCGGCUAACUACGUG
rnacentral:rRNA from 1 species